rnacentral:rRNA from 1 species
GAGACCGAUAGCGAACAAGUACCGCGAGGGAAAGAUGAAAAGGCCUUUGAAAAGAGAGUUAAAAAGUGCUUGAAAUUGUUGAGGGGGAAGUGUAUCAGAGGCGUGAGUGCUCCUAGGCUGUAUGUAGACUCUAACCGGUCUGCCCCUCAGUGCUAGGAGCUGGUCAGCAUGGAUUAGCCUAGUGGGACAAAAGCAGAGGUUGCUACUUUGCCGAUGCCACUUCGCUGAUCGAGGAUUAAGAGCGCUUUGCCUUCGGAGCUGCGUUCUCAUGAUGCUGGCAGAAGCACCUGAUACAGCCCGUCUGGAAACACG